AGAUUGAACGCUGGCGGAAUGCCUUACACAUGCAAGUCGAACGGCAGCACGGGAGCAAUCCUGGUGGCGAGUGGCGAACGGGUGAGUAAUACAUCGGAACGUGCCCAAUCGUGGGGGAUAACGUAGCGAAAGCUACGCUAAUACCGCAUACGAUCUACGGAUGAAAGCGGGGGAUCGCAAGACCUCGCGCGAAUGGAGCGGCCGAUGGCAGAUUAGGGUAGUUGGUGGGGUAAAGGCUCACCAAGCCUUCGAUCUGUAGCUGGUCUGAGAGGACGACCAGCCACACUGGGACUGAGACACGGCCCAGACUCCGUACGGGAGCAGCAGUGGGGAAUUUUGGACAAGUGGACGCAAGUCUGAUCCAGCCAUUCCGCGUGCAGGAUGAAGGUCCUUCGGUUGUAAACGUGUCGUUUUUGGAACGGUAAACGAAAGACCGUAUUUACCUAAGUACGGGUGU
rnacentral:rRNA from 1 species